AUUAAGAUGUCUGAUAAAAGUAAUAAAUUGUAAAUUUAUUCAUAAACAAAAAUGUUUUCUUAAUA
rnacentral:tRNA from 1 species